GGUUUCAUCAAACCUGAUGAUGGAACCGAAGAUCUUUUCGUUCACCAAUCUGAGAUCAAAUCUGAGGGGUUUCGUUCGUUGUAUGAAGGUCAGAAAGUUGAGUUUAUGGUGACUGGGAAUGGGGAUAAGUAUCAGGCUGUUGACGUGACGGGUCCUGAUGGAGCGCCUUUGGAUGGAGGUCGUAACGGUGGUGGCGGCGGCGGUGGUAGGGGUAUGGUUCGUGGUGGUGAUCGGAGGAAUGGGAAUGGGUUUUUGAGAAGUGGUGGUGGGGUGACUGGGAAUGGG
rnacentral:misc_RNA from 1 species